rnacentral:rRNA from 1 species
UAACACGUAGGGAACCUGCCCGCGCACCGGGAAUACGCUCUGGAAACGGAGAACAAAUCCCGAUGUACAGGAAGGAGGCAUCUUCUUUCUGUGAAACAUCCUGUAAGGGAUGGGGCGCGGAUGGACCUGCGGUGCAUUAGUUAGUUGGCGAGGGUAAAGGCCCACCAAGACGAUGAUGCAUAGCCGGCCUGAGAGGGCGGACGGCCACAUUGGGACUGAGACACGGCCCAGACUCCUGCGGGAGGCAGCAGUAGGGAAUUUUCGUCAAUGGGCGCAAGCCUGAACGAGCGAUGCCGCGUGAGUGAAGAAGGCCUUCGGGUCGUAAAGCUCUGUUGCGGGGGAAAAAAGGCAACUACAGGAAAUGGUAGAUGACAGAUGGUGCCCCGCCAGAAAGUCACGGCUAACUACGUGCCAGCAGCCGCGGUAAUACGUAGGUGGCGAGCGUUAUCCGGAAUGAUUGGGCGUAAAGGGUGCGCAGGCGGUCCUGCAAGUCUGGAGUGAAACGUAUGAGCUCAACUCAUGCAUGGCUCUGGAAACUGGAGGACUGGAGAGCAGGAGAGGGCGGUGGAACUCCAUGUGUAGCGGUAAAAUGCGUAGAUAUAUGGAAGAACACCAGUGGCGAAGGCGGCCGCCUGGCCUGUUGCUGACGCUGAGGCACGAAAGCGUGGGGAGCAAAUAGGAUUAGAUACCCUAGUAGUCCACGCCGU